UACGGGGGGGGGCAAGCGUUGUUCGGAAUUACUGGGCGUAAAGGGCUCGUAGGCGGCCAACUAAGUCGGAUGUGAAAUCCCCAGGCUUAACCUGGGAACUGCAUCCGAUACUGGAUGGCUUGAGUUUGGGAGAGGGAUGCGGAAUUCCAGGUGUAGCGGUGAAAUGCGUAGAUAUCUGGAGGAACACCGGUGGCGAAGGCGGCAUCCUGGACCAACACUGACGCUGAGUGAGCGAAAGCCAGGGGAGCAAACGGG
rnacentral:rRNA from 1 species